rnacentral:rRNA from 1 species
GACGAACGCUGGCGGCGUGCUUAACACAUGCAAGUCGAACGGAAAGGCCCUGCUUUUGUGGGGUGCUCGAGUGGCGAACGGGUGAGUAACACGUGAGUAACCUGCCCUUGACUUUGGGAUAACUUCAGGAAACUGGGGCUAAUACCGGAUAGGAGCUCCUGCUGCAUGGUGGGGGUUGGAAAGUUUCGGCGGUUGGGGAUGGACUCGCGGCUUAUCAGCUUGUUGGUGGGGUAGUGGCUUACCAAGGCUUUGACGGGUAGCCGGCCUGAGAGGGUGACCGGCCACAUUGGGACUGAGAUCCGGCCCAGACUCCUACGGGAGGCAGCAGUGGGGAAUAUUGCACAAUGGGCGGAAGCCUGAUGCAGCAACGCCGCGUGCGGGAUGACGGCCUUCGGGUUGUAAACCGCUUUCGCCUGUGACGAAGCGUGAGUGACGGUAAUGGGUAAAGAAGCACCGGCUAACUACGUGC